rnacentral:rRNA from 1 species
GAUGAACGCUAGCGGGAGGCCUAACACAUGCAAGCCGAGCGGUAGAAUCUUUUCGGAGAUUUGAGAGCGGCGUACGGGUGAGGAACACGUGUGCAACCUGCCUUUAUCUGGGAGAUAGCCUUUCGAAAGGAAGAUUAAUAUCCCAUAAUAUAUUGAGUGGCAUCACUUAAUAUUGAAAGCUCCGGCGGCUAGAGAUGGGAACGCGCAAGAUUAGAUAGUUGGUGAGGUAACGGCUCACCAAGUCUACGAUCUUUAGGGGGCCUGAGAGGGUGAUCCCCCACACUGGUACUGAGACACGGACCAGACUCCUACGGGAGGCAGCAGUGAGGAAUAUUGGACAAUGGGUGCAAGCCUGAUCCAGCCAUCCCGCGUGAAGGAUUAAGGUCCUAUGGAUUGUAAACUUCUUUUAUACAGGGAUAAACCUCUCCUCGUGAGGAGAGCUGAAGGUACUGUAUGAAUAAGCACCGGCUAACUCCGUGCCAGCCGCCGCCGUAAAAC